rnacentral:rRNA from 1 species
GAUGAACGCUGGCGGCGUGCCUAAUACAUGCAAGUCGAGCGAACAGACGAGGAGCUUGCUCCUCUGACGUUAGCGGCGGACGGGUGAGUAACACGUGGAUAACCUACCUAUAAGACUGGGAUAACUUCGGGAAACCGGAGCUAAUACCGGAUAACAUGUUGAACCGCAUGGUUCAACAGUGAAAGACGGUCUUGCUGUCACUUAUAGAUGGAUCCGCGCCGCAUUAGCUAGUUGGUAAGGUAACGGCUUACCAAGGCAACGAUGCGUAGCCGACCUGAGAGGGGGAUCGGCCACACUGGAAGUGAGACACGGUCCAGACUCCAACGGGAGGCAGCAGUAGGGAAACGUCCGCAAUGGGCGAAAGCCUGACGGAGCAACGCCGCGUGAGGGAAGAAGGUCUGCGGAUCGGAAAACUAUGUUAUUAGGGAAGAACAAAUGUGUAAGUAACUAUGCACGUCUUGACGGUACCUAAGCAGAAAGCCACGGCUAACUACGUG